AUUGAACGCUGGCGGAAUGCUUUACACAUGCAAGUCGAACGGCAGCACGGACUUCGGUCUGGUGGCGAGUGGCGAACGGGUGAGUAAUGUAUCGGAACGUGCCCAGUCGUGGGGGAUAACGUAGUGAAAAUUACGCUAAUACCGCAUACGAUCUAUGGAUGAAAGCGGGGGAUCGCAAGACCUCGCGCGAUUGGAGCGGCCGAUAUCAGAUUAGGUAGUUGGUGGGGUAAAGGCCCACCAAGCCAACGAUCUGUAGCUGGUCUGAGAGGACGACCAGCCACACGGGAACUGGGACACGGUCCAGACUCCUACGGGAGGCAGCAGUGGGAAAUUUUGUACAAUGGGCGAAAGCCUGAUCCAGCCAUUCCGCGUUCAGGAUGAAGGCCCUCGGGUUGUAAACUGCUUUUGUACAGAACGAAAAGGUUUCUACUAAUACUAGGAGCUCAUGACGGUACUGUAAGAAUAAGCACCGGCUAACUACGUGCCAGCAGCCGCCGUAA
rnacentral:rRNA from 1 species